UGCAUGUCGCGGCCAGCCGGCUGGAGGGUGGGGACCGAGGGGGAGCUUAGGUAGCCGUUGGGGCCAACACGUGUAAAAUCCGUAGGGCAGGAAACCCAGGAAGGAGCUGACACUGUGGUCUUGAGGCUGAUUCCCUUUCCCCACAGGAAAUGUCCAUUUUUAAAUUUGCUCUGUUGUGAACUGAAUGUUUGCAUCCCCUGAAAAUUCGUAUGUUGAAGCCCUGCCCCUCAAUGUGAUCGACUCUGGAGAUGCGGCCUCUGGAAGCUUCGAAGUCAAGAGUCUGGCCCCUCAUGAAAAACGCUGAAAAAGGCUUAGAAGUCGGAGAGGGAAAAGCCGGUUUCUGCUCAAAAGACAGAAGGAGCGACGAGCGGCUUCUGCUGUAGGGACCCGCUACCGCCACUCAUCUGGACCAUUCCAGUCACGUUCAUCAAGAGAAGAACUUGCCGGAAGAAGCGCACUGACAAAGGCAGGCAAGGGCUCACAUCCAGGACAGGGGAGAGCUCAUCAUAUGCUCAAAGCAGAACAAAAUGAACCGGGCGUUUCCAUCCCUGAAAUACCCUGUCCAGAGACCCAGGGCCCGUUCCCAGCCGAGUCCCUCCAUCCCCUGUGUCCUCCGUUCUUACUUCUGCGGGGCCUGUAGGGUCUCGUUCCUCCACCAGGAACCGCCUUAUCACGCUCGUUAACAGAAAGGGUUCUCGGGCACCCGGGUGGCUCAGUCAGUUAAGUAUCCAACUAU